GUUUCUAUGGUUGAAUUACAACGGUGGUUUUUCAAAUCAUUAGUCCUGGUUAGAAUCCUGGUAGAAAUU
rnacentral:tRNA from 1 species